UACGGAGGAUGCGAGCGUUAUCCGGAUUUAUUGGGUUUAAAGGGUGCGUAGGCGGACUGUUAAGUCAGCGGUCAAAUGUCGGGGCUCAACCCCGGCCUGCCGUUGAAACUGGCGGCCUCGAGUGGGCGAGAAGUAUGCGGAAUGCGUGGUGUAGCGGUGAAAUGCAUAGAUAUCACGCAGAACUCCGAUUGCGAAGGCAGCAUACCGGCGCCCGACUGACGCUGAGGCACGAAAGCGUGGGUAUCGAACAGG
rnacentral:rRNA from 1 species